GCCUAACAAGAGUGAGAAGGAUGAGAAGAAACUGGAGUCGCCGGCCAGGAAGAAAGCGAAAAUGACCCGACCCUAUGUUCCACCCCAGUUUGGCUCCCGAGGGGUCCAAACCCCGAAUUGAGACCCCCCAUGACCAAGUGUGUAGUAAGUGUCGCCAGGUCCAGGAAGAAAGAAGGAUGAUUACAUGGCGUAGGGAAUUGGCGAUAAAAGUGAGCAAUAUGGGAAAAAUGACUAGACGGAGGAAACAGCGAAGCUGAAGGGCAGAAUUGAGAUUUAUGCGAAGGCUUCUAGAAGAUCCUCCGCGCCUACAUAAGGGAGAGAGCAUGCAGAAAAGAUAGAGUUUUUCGGCUCCUUAGGUUUUAUUUUGGCUCUCUUGGCUCACUUACUUCUACACACUUGGGAGAUGUCCGGGAAGUUGUAGGGGAUUACGGGUUUCACUUUCUAUGUGUUGUUGGGUAACACUGUCCUUGCGUAGGGCGAAGAUACAAUUACUGCUUUCAUUUCAUUCCGUUGCUGUGAAUUUCACCGAGCUUCGUUGUUCGAAGCUCGGCUCUGUUUUUCUGAAAAAUUAUCGUUGAUUUAUGCAAUUUCUGUUUUCUGAUAU